rnacentral:rRNA from 1 species
GAUGAACGCUAGCGGCAGGCUUAAUACAUGCAAGUCGAGGGGCAGCAGGGGUAGCAAUACUCGCUGGCGACCGGCAAACGGGUGCGGAACACGUACGCAACGUUCCCAAAACUGGUGAAUAGCCCUCCGAAAGGAGGAUUAAUACACCGUAACAUAAUGAAGUGGCAUCACUUUAUUAUUAUAGCUCCGGCGGUUUUGGAUGGGCGUGCGCCUGAUUAGGUAGUUGGUAGGGUAACGGCCACCAAGCCUGCGAUCAGUAACUGGUGUGAGAGCACGACCAGUCACACGGGCACUGAGACACGGGCCCGACUCCUACGGGAGGCAGCAGUAAGGAAUAUUGGUCAAUGGACGCAAGUCUGAACCAGCCAUGCCGCGUGAAGGAUGAAGGCCCUCUGGGUUGUAAACUU